rnacentral:rRNA from 1 species
AUACGUAGGGGGCGAGCGUUGUCCGGAAUUAUUGGGCGUAAAGCGCGCGCAGGCGGUCCUUUAAGUCUGAUGUGAAAGGCCACGGCUCAACCGUGGGAUGGCAUUGGAAACUGGGGGACUUGAGUGCAGGAGAGGGGAGCGGAAUUCCCGGUGUAGCGGUGAAAUGCGUAGAGAUCGGGAGGAACACCAGUGGCGAAGGCGGCUCUCUGGCCUGUAACUGACGCUGAGGCGCGAAAGCGUGGGGAGCGAACAGGAUUAGAUACCCUGGUAGUCCACGCCGUAAACGAUGAGUGCUAGGUGUUAGGGGUUUCAAUACCCUUAGUGCCGCAGUCAACACAUUAAGCACUCCGCCUGGGGAGUACGGCCGCAAGGCUGAA